CCUACGGGAGGCAGCAGUGGGGAAUAUUGCACAAUGGGGGAAACCCUGAUGCAGCGACGCCGCGUGGGUGACGAAGUAUUUCGGUAUGUAAAGCCCUAUCAGCAGGGAAGAAGAUGACAGUACCUGACCAAGAAGCCCCGGCUAACUACGUGCCAGCAGCCGCGGUAAUACGUAGGGGGCAAGCGUUAUCCGGAUUUACUGGGUGUAAAGGGAGCGUAGGUGGCAUGGCAAGCCAGAAGUGAAAACCCGGGGCUUAACCCCGCGGAUUGCUUUUGGAACUGUCAGGCUGGAGUGCAGGAGGGGCAGGCGGAAUUCCUGGUGUAGCGGUGAAAUGCGGAGAUAUCAGGAGGAACACCGGUGGCGAAGGCGGCCUGCUGGACUGUAACUGACACUGAGGCUCGAAAGCGUGGGGAGCAAACAGGAUUAGAUACCCUAGUAGUC
rnacentral:rRNA from 1 species